UACAGAGGGGGCAAGCGUUGUUCGGAAUUACUGGGCGUAAAGGGCGCGUAGGCGGGAUGGCAAGUCGGUCGUGAAAUCCCUCGGCUCAACCGAGGAACGUCGAUCGAUACUGCUGUUCUUGAGGAUUGCAGAGGAGACUGGAAUUCCCGGUGUAGCGGUGAAAUGUGUAGAGAUCGGGAGGAACACCGGUGGCGAAGGCGGGUCUCUGGGCAAUUCCUGACGCUGAGACGCGAAAGCGUGGGGAGCAAACGGG
rnacentral:rRNA from 1 species